UACGUAGGAGACGAGCGUUGUCCGGAGUUACUGGGCGUAAAGGGUGCGUAGGCGGCGCGGUAAGUCGGGUGUGAAAUCUCGGAGCUUAACUCCGAAACUGCAUUCGAUACUGCCGUGCUUGAGGACUGGAGAGGAGACUGGAAUUUACGGUGUAGCGGUGAAAUGCGUAGAUAUCGUAAGGAAGACCAGUGGCGAAGGCGGGUCUCUGGACAGUUCCUGACGCUGAGGCACGAAGGUCAGGGGAGCAAACGGG
rnacentral:rRNA from 1 species